rnacentral:pre_miRNA from 1 species
UUUGUACUCCCUCCGACCCAAAAUUCUUGUCUUAAAUUUGUCUAAAUACGGAUGUAUCUAGUUACAUUUUAGUGUUAGAUACAUCCGUAUCUAAAAAAAUGUAAGACAGGAAUUUUGGGAUGGAGGGAAUACUAU